rnacentral:rRNA from 1 species
GACGAACGCUGGCGGCGUGCUUAACACAUGCAAGUCGAACGGUAAGGCCCUUCGGGGUACACGAGUGGCGAACGGGUGAGUAACACGUGGGUGAUCCGCCCUGCACUUCGGGAUAAGCCUGGGAAACUGGGUCUAAUACCGGAUAGGACCACUGCCUGCAUGGGUGGUGGUGGAAAGCUUUUGCGGUGUGGGAUGGGCCCGCGGCCUAUAAGCUUGUUGGUGGGGUGAUGGCCUACCAAGGCGACGACGGGUAGCCGGCCUGAGAGGGUGGCCGGCCACACUGGGACUGAGAUACGGCCCUGACUCCUACGGGAGGCAGCAGUGGGGAAUAUUGCACAAUGGGCGCAAGCCUGAUGCAGCGACGCCGCGUGAGGGAUGACGGCCUUCGGGUUGUAAACCUCUUUCAGCACCGACGAAGCGCAAGUGACGGUGGGUGCAGAAGAAGGACCGGCCAACUACGUGCCAGCAGCCGCCGUAAUAC